UACGGGGGGAGCAAGCGUUGUUCGGAUUUACUGGGCGUAAAGGGCGCGUAGGCGGUCGUGACAAGUCACUUGUGAAAUCUCCGGGCUUAACUCGGAACGGUCAAGUGAUACUGUCGGACUAGAGUACAGAAGGGGCAACUGGAAUUCUCGGUGUAGCGGUGAAAUGCGUAGAUAUCGAGAGGAACACCUGCGGCGAAGGCGGGUUGCUGGGCUGAUACUGACGUGAGACGCGAAAGCUAGGGGAGCAAACGGGG
rnacentral:rRNA from 1 species